GAUGAACGCUGGCGGCGUGCCUAAUACAUGCAAGUCGAGCGAACAGAUAAGGAGCUUGCUCCUUUGACGUUAGCGGCGGACGGGUGAGUAACACGUGGGUAACCUAACUAUAAGACUGGAAUAACUCCGGGAAACCGGGGCUAAUGCCGGAUAACAUUUAGAACCGCAUGGUUCUAAAGUGAAAGAUGGUUUUGCUAUCACUUAUAGAUGGACCCGCGCCGUAUUAGCUAGUUGGUAAGGUAACGGCUUACCAAGGCAACGAUACGUAGCCGACCUGAGAGGGUGAUCGGCCACACUGGAACUGAGACACGGUCCAGACUCCUACGGGAGGCAGCAGUAGGGAAUCUUCCGCAAUGGGCGAAAGCCUGACGGAGCAACGCCGCGUGAGUGAUGAAGGUCUUCGGAUCGUAAAACUCUGUUAUUAGGGAAGAACAAAUGUGUAAGUAACUGUGCACGUCUUGACGGUACCUAAUCAGAAAGCCACGGCUAACUACGUG
rnacentral:rRNA from 1 species